GAUGAACGCUGGCGGCGUGCCUAAUACAUGCAAGUCGAGCGAACAGACGAGGAGCUUGCUCCUCUGACGUUAGCGGCGGACGGGUGAGUAACACGUGGAUAACCUACCUAAAGACUGGGAUAACUUCGGGAAACCGGAGCUAAUACCGGAUAAUAUAUUGAACCGCAUGGUUCAAUAGUGAAAGACGGUUUUGCUGUCACUUAUAGAUGGAUCCGCGCCGCAUUAGCUAGUUGGUAAGGUAACGGCUUACCAAGGCAACGAUGCGUAGCCGACCUGAGAGGGUGAUCGGCCACACUGGAACUGAGACACGGUCCAGACUCCUACGGGAGGCAGCAGUAGGGAAUCUUCCGCAAUGGGCGAAAGCCUGACGGAGCAACGCCGCGUGAGUGAUGAAGGUCUUCGGAUCGUAAAACUCUGUUAUUAGGGAAGAACAAAUGUGUAAGUAACUAUGCACGUCUUGACGGUACCUAAUCAGAAAGCCACGGCUAACUACG
rnacentral:rRNA from 1 species